rnacentral:rRNA from 1 species
CCUACGGGAGGCAGCAGUGGGGGAUAUUGCACAAUGGGGGAAACCCUGAUGCAGCGACGCCGCGUGGGUGAAGAAGCGCCUCGGCGCGUAAAGCCCUGUCAGCAGGGAAGAAAAUGACGGUACCUGAAGAAGACGCCCCGGCUAACUACGUGCCAGCAGCCGCGGUAAUACGUAGGGGGCAAGCGUUAUCCGGAUUUACUGGGUGUAAAGGGGGCGCAGACGGCGAUGCAAGCCAGGAGUGAAAGCCCGGGGCCCAACCCCGGGACUGCUCUUGGAACUGCGUGGCUUGAGUGCAGGAGAGGAGAGUGGAAUUCCUAGUGUAGCGGUGAAAUGCGUAGAUAUUAGGAGGAACACCAGUUGCGAAGGCGGCUCGCUGGACUGUAACUGACACUGAGGCACGAAAGCGUGGGGAGCAAACAGGAUUAGAUACCCCGGUAGUC